AACGUCAAGAGUUACAUCCCUUGGAAAAUGGCGGGCGGGGCGUUGGUAGGAAACGUCAGGAGAAAGUCUAAUAUGACCAAUAGUCUGCUGUGCUUAUUGAAAUCGCUCUGCACAGAGGAAGUUGCAGUCAAAACGCUUAGACUCUCUCAAGCGCAUGUAAAUGGCACAAUCAAGCACCCAGCUUACAAACUGUGUUGGUGCUGUGGUGCACCUUGGGUUCCAGGUGCAGUGUCCCUCCCCAGCGUCACCUCCAUCAAGGAUAACGGCAUUGUCACGUUAAGUGAUCAGGUUGAACGGACUUUACUGUAUCGUUCCUUAUCACAGCAUUUCCAGAUUCUCCGCAACGACAGCCAAAAAAUCGAUAAAACAUAUUUUCGGGGACUUGGAAACACUGUUGGUUUAACUUACUUGUCAAGAACAUUCUGUAAUGAUUUACAUUCAGAAAAUUCGUUUGCAUCACCCAAAAAACGUUUGCACAGCUUUGCUCUGCCACAUAGAACCACCCCACAAGUUGGUUGCACAAGGAGUUAUUCCAGAAAGCACAGAAACAACCAUGAAGAAACAAAGAUGCAAGUGCGUGGGGGUGCAGUGUAUCUGCCCAACCCGUUAACCUGGCUAUCUGCAAUGUGGAAUAAGGCUAAGCUGCGUUAUAAGUUUGACCCGUCCUUCUCAGAGAGAGAAUUUCUGCAGGGAGCAAAGCAGGCCAUCAGCUAUGUGAUGAGCCAGGUGUGCAGGGGAAAGUUUGACCUGCUGAAUGAUAUCGUCACUCAAGAGGCAAUAGCACUAUUUCGAGUUCAUCUUUAUUCCCUCUCUGAGACCGAAAAAGCAGCCCUGACCUUGAUGCCUGGUGACAUGGUUCUCCUGAAAAUUCGGGAUGUGCAUUUGCACAGUGAGAAGGGUGCGGUGCUUGCUUUCGUGGACAUUUUUUGCGUCGGUCUCAAGAUGGUGGAGGACACCCCCUACCUGGUCAAUCUGGACAUUAGGUGAGAUGAAGAGUUCACUGUGUACCUGCCAUAGCCGAGUGUUAGUUGCAUUUUUGUGUCAUGUUCUUUGUUAUACAUGACCGAUGUUAGAGCUGGCCACUCACAACUAUUAUCCAAGUUUCAGUUGCUUGCUUUUUGUUUAUCUCUCAUGUGUAAUCAAGUUUGUGUUUUUCCUUGAAUGUUUCUUUGAACUAUUUUGUUGUGUUUGAUCUAUCUCUUGUGUAUAACCAGAGUUGUCUUUCCUGAUUUUGAGUUGUCCUUGCAAUUAAAAUUGUAUUCUGCUUUACUUGGUAUGAGAUAUUAGUUGGAACUAAUGUAGGUAGGUUAUCUGCAAAUAGCCAGAGUUGAUAUCCAUAAUAUUUAGUCCCCUUUUUAUUGUCUUUUUCAUUGUUUUGUAUGGAGUUGUAUGUGCAAAGUUAUCAGUUAUGGUUAAAGUUGCAGAUGUGAUAUUAUCAGUUAAUGUUUAUUACAAAGUUAAACAUUGGAGUGACGGAAACAGAUGAAGAGAUAGAUGGAUGGACAGACAGAUGUUGAAUGAAUGUAUUUACAACACAAAACUUCACCAGCUCUCCCCUAUGACUGGGCAGUUCAGUGGAACCGUUGGCACCUGUCACCAAUGUACAUGUAGUGAGGGUUGGUUGUCAGGGGUUCAGCUCUCGUUUCAGGCACGCUGUUCUUUCUCUGCAUGUGGCAUCUGUUUACAGGGCUGGCUGUCUUGCUGUGAUAUAACCUUCGUUGCUGGCACGGCGUAAAACACCAAUUCUCUCUCCCUUGCCCCUCCCACGACUGGUACUUGUUGCACCAGUUAUGGGAUGACAUGAUAUGUUUAUCUGCUCAUCCUGUUAAAAUGAUUGGCCUUGUGUGCAUGGGUGAGGCAAGAUUAAUUACAAUAAUCAUACUGACAAUAUUGACCAAUUGCUCAUCAGCUUAUACUACCUUAAAAUGUGUUUUACAGUAUGUAGUAGUUGUGUGUAUCUGAGAUUGAGAUGUGCAGAUUUUCAACAAGUUAGACUGCU